ACCUGAUAUUCAUACACUUUGGUAAAAACAUUCAGCCACUUUCCCAAACUCGAUCGAAUUCGGAAACAAUCGUAGCGAUUGUGAAAAUGACAUAAUAUUGGGGUUUCCGUGAAUGUUUUUUUAACAUUUUGCCAUAUUGUACGCAUAACUGAGCAGGAUGCUCAUGAAAUAAAUUAAAGCAGCAGUUGUAUCGGGGCAACUAUCGUUCCUCUUCGAUCGAGUUUGGGAAAUUGGCUGAUUAACAACAUUUUCAUAACUUAUUUGCUAAAAUUACUCUAGUCGGAAAUAUAUGAGUCAUGUGUUUAAGAGAGCGAUACAGGAAAUGGAUCCCAGAUCACUUCAGGACACUACACUAAUUACUAUAAUGACGAGUCUUACCAAUGUCGGAUCUUUAUGGUUGAAUUAUUGAACAGCGUGAUAUCUUGAUCAUGAGACUCCGUUGGGUUUUACAGGUUAUUUUGACAUUCCUAUGGCAUCAAACGAGGGGUCGUCCAGGCAGUCGUUCAAGGUUGGCUGCCAGGAGAGUUGAGCGCCGCCUUAGGUUCAAGCUUUAUAAGAUUGUCCAAUGACGAUGGCGUCAGCCUCUUCUACAACCAACCAUGGUCGUAAAGCGUUUUCGUGGACAUCGUCGAGCUAUCCACCUUCCACUUCAGUCACCAAUAAAGCACAAGAUACGCAAAAGAACAUGUUUUCUUUCCACCACAGGCUGUUAGGACUGAUCGGGCUUUACGGUUUUAUUUAUGCCGAUGGAAAUUAGAACACGUUAUACCAAUAAAGUACGCAUGCCUGGGAGGAGGACAGCCUACCAGUGCGUAAACCACACCACCA